rnacentral:rRNA from 1 species
AUACGGAGGAUCCGAGCGUUAUCCGGAUUUAUUGGGUUUAAAGGGUGCGCAGGCGGCCAUUUAAGUCAGCGGUUAAAUCGUGGGGCUCAACCCCAUUCUGCCGUUGAUACUGGGUGGCUUGAUUGCGGUCGAGGUUGGCGGAAUUCGUUGUGAAGCGGGGAAAUGCAUAGAUAUGACGAAGAACACCGAUUGCGUAGGCAGCUGACCAGACCGCAAAUGACGCUCAUGCACGAAAGUGCGGGGAUCGAACAGGAUUAGAUACCCUGGUAGUCCGCACAGUAAACGAUGAAUACUUGUUUUCGGCGAUAUAAUGUCGGAGGCAAAGCGAAAGCGAUAAGUAUUCCACCUGGGGAGUACGCCGGCAACGGUGAAACUCAAAUGAAUUGACGGGG